AUUGAACGCUGGCGGCAGGCUUAACACAUGCAAGUCGAGCGGGGUGAUGGUGCUUGCACUAUCACUUAGCGGCGGACGGGUGAGUAAUGCUUAGGAAUCUGCCUAUUAGUGGGGGACAACAUCUCGAAAGGGAUGCUAAUACCGCAUACGUCCUACGGGAGAAAGCAGGGGAUCACUUGUGACCUUGCGCUAAUAGAUGAGCCUAAGUCGGAUUAGCUAGUUGGUGGGGUAAAGGCCUACCAAGGCGACGAUCUGUAGCGGGUCUGAGAGGAUGACCCGCCACACUGGGACUGGGACACGGCCCAGACUCCUACGGGAGGCAGCAGUGGGGAAUAUUGGACAAUGGGGGGAACCCUGAUCUAGCCAUGCCGCGUGUGUGAAGAAGGCCUUAUGGUUGUAAAGCACUUUAAGCGAGGAGGAGGCUCUUUUGGUUAAUACCCAAGAUGAGUGGACGUUACUCGCAGAAUAAGCACCGGCUAACUCUGUGCCAGCAGCCGCCGUAA
rnacentral:rRNA from 1 species